UACGUAGGGACCAAGCGUUGUUCGGAUUUACUGGGCGUAAAGGGCGCGUAGGCGGCGCUGUAAGUCACUUGUGAAAUCUCUGAGCUUAACUCAGAACGGCCAAGUGAUACUGCAGUGCUAGAGUGCGGAAGGGGCAAUCGGAAUUCUUGGUGUAGCGGUGAAAUGCGUAGAUAUCAGGAGGAACACCGGUGGCGAAGGCGGGUCUCUGGGCCGAUACUGACGCUGAGGAGCGAAAGCGUGGGGAGCGAACAGG
rnacentral:rRNA from 1 species